rnacentral:miRNA from 1 species
UAUAGUGUGUGUGUGUGUGUGUGUGUGUGUGUGUGUGUGUGUACAUACACACACACACUAUAGACUGACA